AAUAGAUACCCAGGUAGUCCACGCCGUAAACGAUGAGUGCUAAGUGUUAGAGGGUUUCCGCCCUUUAGUGCUGCAGCAAACGCAUUAAGCACUCCGCCUGGGGAGUACGGUCGCAAGACUGAAACUCAAAGGAAUUGACGGGGGCCCGCACAAGCGGUGGAGCAUGUGGUUUAAUUCGAAGCAACGCGAAGAACCUUACCAGGUCUUGACAUCCCACUGCCCGGUAUAGAGAUAUACCUUUCCCUUCGGGGACAGUGGUGACAGGUGGUGCAUGGUUGUCGUCAGCUCGUGUCGUGAGAUGUUGGGUUAAGUCCCGCAACGAGCGCAACCCUUGAUCUUAGUUGCCAGCAUUUAGUUGGGCACUCUAAGGUGACUGCCGGUGACAAACCGGAGGAAGGUGGGGAUGACGUCAAAUCAUCAUGCCCCUUAUGACCUGGGCUACACACGUGCUACAAUGGAUGGUACAAAGGGCUGCAAGACCGCGAGGUCAAGCCAAUCCCAUAAAACCAUUCUCAGUUCGGAUUGCAGG
rnacentral:rRNA from 1 species